UGGGGAAUCUUAGACAAUGGGCGCAAGCCUGAUCUAGCCAUGCCGCGUGGGUGAUGAAGGCCUUAGGGUCGUAAAGCCCUUUCGCCGGGGAAGAUAAUGACGGUACCCGGUAAAGAAACCCCGGCUAACUCCGUGCCAGCAGCCGCGGUAAUACGGAGGGGGUUAGCGUUGUUCGGAAUGACUGGGCGUAAAGCGCGCGUAGGCGGAUCGCAAAAGUCGGGGGUGAAAUCCCGGGGGCUCAACCCCGGAAUGGCCUUCGAGACUCGCGGUCUGGAGUUCGAGAGAGGUGGGUGGAAUUCCGAGUGUAGAGGUGAAAUUCGUAGAUAUUCGGAGGAGCACCAGUGGCGAAGGCGGCCCACUGGCUCGACACUGACGCUGAGGCGCGAAAGCGCGGGGAGCAAACAGGAUUAGAUACCCUGGUAGUCCGCGCCGUAAACGAUGAAUGCCAGACGUCGGGGGGCUUGCCCUUCGGUGUCACACCUAACGGAUUAAGCAUUCCGCCUGGGGAGUACGGCCGCAAGGUUAAAAC
rnacentral:rRNA from 1 species